UACAGAGGUCCCGAGCGUUUGUUCGGAUUCAUUGGGCGUAAAGGGUGCGUAGGCGGCGGGGAAAGUCUGAUGUGAAAUCCUGGGGGCUCAACCCUGGAACUGCAUUGGAUACUUCCUUGCUAGAGUACUGGAGAGGAAACUGGAAUUUACGGUGUAGCAGUGAAAUGCGUAGAGAUCGUAAGGAAGACCAGUGGCGAAGGCGAGUUUCUGGACAGUUACUGACGCUGAGGCACGAAAGGCCAGGGGGAGCAAACGGG
rnacentral:rRNA from 1 species